rnacentral:sRNA from 2 species
GUCCCCGUCAUCUGGGGAGUAGCCAGUCGGUGCCGCGCGCACCGGGCGCCCGCGUCAACAUACUUGGUCGAGAGGCCAUGGCGCAGGCGGAGCCGCAAGGUUCGGGCGAGACCAAUGGCGUCGCAUUUCCGCUCGUGCCGGGCGGGGAGAUGCGAUGUCGUUGGAUUCGCAUCCGCCCGGCCCC